GAUGAAGAACGCAGCGAAAUGCGAUAAGUAAUGUGAAUUGCAGAAUUCAGUGAAUCAUCGAAUCUUUGAACGCACAUUGCGCCCGCCAGCAUUCUGGCGGGCAUGCCUGUUCGAGCGUCAUUUCAACCCUCGACCUCCCCUUGGGGAAGUCGGCGUUGGGGACCGGCAGCAUACCGCCGGCCCCGAAAUGGAGUGGCGGCCCGUCCGCGGCGACCUCUGCGUAGUAAUCCAACCUCGCACCGGAACCCCGACGUGGCCACGCCGUAAAACCCCCAACUUUCUGAACGUUGACCUCGGAUCAGGUAGGAAUACCCGCUGAACUUAAGCAUAUUAAUAAGCGGAGGA
rnacentral:misc_RNA from 1 species